AUCCAACUGUAGGGGGUACGAGUUGUGUCAUGGCUUAGACAUUGAGAUUCUUACCACGUACCGCAGAGAUGUUUAACCACAACUUGCGGUUGCCAACCAAAUUGCGGCUACCCGUAAUUGUCUAACCCGCCUGGAAGCUCAACAAUUCCGCAAAAAUAUAUAUGAACGAGUCGUCGUAAACUUCGCUAGCGGGGAAUUUAAAAAAGAUGGUAAUCUAUUCCAGCCUGCAUUCCUUCUACCAGAUGAGAAUAACUUUUCUUAGCUUCUUCCUCUAGCGACCCACAUAAUGCGAUAAGGACAAAUGGUGCUUCUUUUUAAUCUCUUCAUUCAGGAAGAUUUAUAAAUGCGGUGGUUGCAUGAUGGAAGAUAACUCCAGAACGUCUCAAAGUAUACAGAUGAAAUAUAGCAUUGAUAUAGUACCUAGUAUCGAAGAAAACAGCCAGUUGUUAAGUUUUUUUUAAAUUAUCUGUGUUUACACUAGUUACUUCAUAUAACUUGAAAUUGUUUUGAUAAUUUACAUAUACAAAAAUACAGUUUUAGAGAUUAAAAAGAAAUAAUUUAUUAUCAUAUACCACUCGCCGUUAAACUGAUAAAAUAUAUUGAAUCCGUGCCAACAGUAGUUCAAAGUGUGUUAUUUUGGGCAAUUCUAAAAUAUCUAAAUAUAAACUCAA